AUAUAUAUAUAUAUAUAUAUAUAUAUAUAUAUAUAUAUAUAUAUAUAUAUAUAUAUAUAUAUAUAUAUAUAUAUAUAUAUAUAUAUAUAUAUAUAUAUAUAUAUAUAUAUAUAUAUAUAUAUAUAUAUAUAUAUAUAUAAAACAGACAACUGUAAAGGAUGCUCCUGCUCUCUCUUAUGUGUCCUUCCUGCAACUGUCUUUAAACUUUUGUUCCUUUUUCUUUGAUCGCUCUCCUCUUCAGACUUGCUGUCUGCAGGCGUGAGAAACGUAUCCCUCGCUAGCCUUCAGGCCAGAGCUGUAGUUCCUGUGAGCAGAGCGUCGAGGGUGUUAAUGUUCCCACAUAAGGCUGCACUGUAAAUUUAAAUGACAGUAUGUGAGUGACUGACAGACUGGUGUUGAGUUCUUUGAUGCUGAACCCUUGAUCAAUCGUGAAACUGUCACCUAGUAGAUGAAGAAUCAAUACAUAUGUCCCUGGCACACAAAAAAGGUUUACAUCUCCAGCUCCUCCCACGUUCACUUGUGGCUGGAAGGUCACCUGCUGGCACAGACGGAUCUCCUGAGCCACUACUGUACUGUACUGUACUGUACUGUACCACCAACCAGGCCAAGACUGGGAGUCAGAUCUGCUCCAGUACUGAGAUUAGUGACAGAUAUCAUCUUCGGCCAUGUUCAUUAACUGUGCCCAAAUCCCUGACCGAUUAACAGCUGUCCUGGUCAGUAGUUACUCCUUGUGACAGUUUCAAAAUAUAUACACACUAAUCAUUAAUAUUUAGGCCUUAAAUCUGUGUAUUUGAAAUGAAAUGUCUAUCCAUAUGGAUUGCAGUUUCAUCAUAAACAAACUGAUAAACUUAAUGUGAUGCAUAUUUAUCUGUCAUACAUAAAUGCAGCAGGUAAUAUUUCUGUAAUAGUACUGAUAAACAGAAUGUGUUUUAAAUGCACAAUAACCAGGUGUAUAUAAUUAUCAUCAAUAUAUAUUUUUCUUUCUAAUUUACAUUUUAAUGAAUUAAAUGAAAUAUUGCUCGUUCCACGGGUAUGCAUGGUUUAACCAUGUUCAUACUUUUCACCUGACAAAAUAUAAUUGUUUUCACCAUCAACGAUUUAAAUGAGUGUAUUUUAAAAAUAUGGUUAUUUAAAUCAAAUCAAAUAGAUGAAAACGAAUAAUGGAUGGAAUGAAAUUUUAUAUGCAAUUCAAAUAACCUAAAUCUUAAAUGUAGCCCUAAAUAUUUUUUAGAGACAGCAUUUUCAAUUAACUUUUUGGGUAAAUAAUUAAACCAAAUGUUUAUUUAAUUUUAUUUAAGCUUUCAUGCACAAAAGUAAAAGACAACUAGUGAAAAUGCUUUCAUUUUGCACAUACAAUAAAAAGUACACAUUUUAAAAUCAGCAAUUUAAUAUAAAUAUAAGUGAAAAUAUAAUUAUAAUCUUAAUCUUUUGAUUAUAAUUUUAUUCGCAUUUAUUUAUUUUACAUUUAUCAGAAUCCUAAACCAUAGUAUUCUUUUAAAAAUACAAGCAAAUAGAUUUUGAAUGCCAGCUUUUCAAAGUGAUACUGACAUCAGACAUUUAAAUACACAUAAUUUGACACACAGAACAACAAUACAUUAAUUAACAGUGGCCAAUAUAUGGGUCAUGCUUAAAUGGAUAAAUCUGUUUGUAUAACAGCAAAAAGAAAUACUAAUGUGCCACGUUGUAAUAUAAGCUGUAUAUAAAAAUAAUUUUAAAAAAAAUCAGCAAUUUAACCAAGUAUAAACCAAAUA
rnacentral:lncRNA from 12 species